CACCGCAGCAUGGUGGGGAGGAAAGGCUUGGGUUUUGCGCGUGCGCAGAGUUGCCUCGCUGUAUCUUUGCGCUCUCGCAGUCUUAACUGGAAAGCCGCACGAGUCCCAGGAAGCGACUUGUGUAGGUUCACAGAGUGAAGUUUGCGCGGCUGGGGUUGCCGCGCGUCCGGGUAGAAGCCCGAGCCGGAGGAGGGAGAUCAGUGUGUUUCUAACCUUGGAGGUAAAAGUGGCGGGAAUAGUAGGCCGUGGGCCUGUGGGCUCUGGAGACAUAAACCCCAAGUAAAUUCCAGGUCUGUCACCUGUCAUCAGGGGAGAGAAGAAAUCUGGGAAAGAGUCAGUUUACUCACUGAAAAUGAGGUUAUUAAUAAUGAUUGCUUCAGGACGUUGUUUUGAGACCUCAUUAAGUGUCCCCUGUAAUUAUAUGAGUGCCUGGUACAAAACACUAAGUGACAACGGCUU
rnacentral:lncRNA from 1 species